UACGUAGGGUGCGAGCGUUGCCCGGAUUUAUUGGGCGUAAAGGGCGCGUAGGCGGCUCGGCACGUCCGUUGUGAAAUCGCUCGGCUCAACUGGGCGAGGUCAGCGGAUACGGUCGAGCUUGAGCCAGCUAGGGGGCAAUGGAAUUCCCGGUGUAGUGGUGGAAUGCGUAGAUAUCGGGAGGAACACCAGUGGCGAAGGCGGUUGCCUGGGCUGUGCUGACGCUGAUGCGCGAAAG
rnacentral:rRNA from 1 species